CUCUUCUGGAACGGGUCAGACAGGAGAGACUGUCCCUGAUAUUAGUGGCCCCGGAGAACCGAUCAGCUCUGUCCAAAUUCUGACUUCAAAGUCAGAACUACGGGUACCUGUAAGGACCAACCUCUGUGGGAGAGACACUUUGGUUUAUGCAGUAGGAGGAAGAAGAAGAAGCCAUUUCGUUAAUGGAAGACCUAAAGGUGAGUGAAACUUGCACCAAAACAACACGUGUUCCAGUUUCACUCACCUUUUGGUCUUUGGUCUCUCUAUGCAAAUAUAGGCAAAGUCUCAUGACUGUAACUCAAAGGGGUAAGGAGAAUCCGGUCGCAAGUGUCAAAACCAAUGGUUUAAUCUCACCCCCUUUUCACCUUUUUAGAUCCACCAGACAAGGCUGCCCAGCCUCCCCAGUUAUCUUCACUCUAGCACUUGAGCCUCUUGCCUGUGCUAUCAGGGAAAAUCAGAGUAUAACAGUGGUUAAAAGAUCAACUGGUUAAAGAGCGAGGCCAUCGCCCUGAAUCGUCUCACACACUCAGGAAAAAGGGUGGACUAGGGAUACCAGACAUUCAUACUUAUUAUUUGGCGUACAAUGGUAUUUAUCCCCUAUUCUGGGCGUAUGAGAAGGAGCAGGCAGCUAUGGGUAGCUGGAGAUUGGCUGAAGCAGAAACUUGUCGAGGUGAAUUAUAAGAAUGUCUCCUUAGCCUCACUCUGGUAUCACACCAAAUGUAAUAAAAUCAUAAAAAAUCCCAUA
ensembl:lncRNA